AUUGAACGCUGGCGGCAUGCCUUACACAUGCAAGUCGAACGGCAGCACGGGAGCAAUCCUGGUGGCGAGUGGCGAACGGGUGAGUAAUAUAUCGGAACGUGCCCAGUCGUGGGGAUAACGUAGCGAAAGCUACGCUAAUACCGCAUACGAUCUAUGGAUGAAAGCGGGGGAUCGCAAGACCUCGCGCGAUUGGAGCGGCCGAUAUCAGAUUAGGUAGUUGGUGGGGUAAAGGCUCACCAAGCCAACGAUCUGUAGCUGGUCUGAGAGGACGACCAGCCACACUGGAACUGAGACACGGUCCAGACUCCUACGGGAGGCAGCAGUGGGGAAUUUUGGGACAAUGGACGCAAGUCUGAUCCAGCCAUUCCGCGUGCAGGAUGAAGGCCCUCGGGUUGUAAACUGCUUUUGUACGGAACGAAACGGUGAGCUCUAAUACAGUUUGCUAAUGACGGUACCGUAAGAAUAAGCACCGGCUAACUACGUGCCAG
rnacentral:rRNA from 1 species